rnacentral:rRNA from 1 species
AGAGUUUGAUCCUGGCUCAGAACGAACGCUGGCGGCGUGGCUAAGGCAUGCAAGUCGUACGGGAAUCGAUCGGUAGCAAUAUCGGUUGGUUUCAGUGGCGGACGGGUGAGUAAUGCAUAGGUAACGUACCUCGAGAUUGGGGAUAGCGUCGGGCCCGCAAGGGUCCUUUGCGAAAGUGACGUUAAUACCUGAUGACAUCCCUGGGUCGCAUGGCCCGGGGAUCAAAGGUGGGGACCGCAAGGCCUACCGGCUCGGGAUCGGCCUAUGUCCUAUCAGCUAGUUGGUGAGGUAAUGGCUCACCAAGGCUGCGACGGGUAGCCGGCGUGAGAGCGCGACCGGCCACAUCGGGACUGAGACACUGCCCGGACACCUACGGGUGGCUGCAGCAACGAAUAUUCCGCAAUGGGCGCAAGCCUGACGGAGCGACGCCGCGUGGGGGAUGAAGUCCUUCGGGAUGUAAACCCCAAUAGUUUGUCAGGAAGUAACCUGACCCAAUACGUCGGGAAGUUGACCAGCAAACGAAAGGGGCGGCUAACUCCGUGCCAGCAGCCGCGGUAAUACGGAGGCCCCGAGGCGGUUGUUCGGAAUUACUGGGCUUAAAGCGGCGGUUAGGCGGGGCGGGAAAGUGCCUUGUGAAAUCCCCGGGCUCAACCCGGGAAUGGCUCGGCAUACUAUCGGUCUUGAGGCAGGUAUGGGUCGCUGGAACCUUAGGUGUAGCGGUGAAAUGCGUAGAUAUCUAAGGGAACGCCGGUGGCGAAAGCGGGCGACUGGGCCUGUCCUGACGCUGAGACGCGAAAGCGUAGGGAGCAAACGGGAUUAGAUACCCCGGUAGUCUACGCCGUAAACGAUGCGCACUAGGUUCGAGGUCCACUGACGGUUCUCGGGCCGAAACAAAAGCGUUAAGUGCGCCGCCUGGGGAGUACGGCCGCAAGGCUAAAACUCAAAGGAAUUGACGGGGGCUCACACAAGCGGUGGAGCAUGUGGAUCAAUUCGAAUCAACGCGAAGAACCUUACCUGGGUUUGACAUGCUUGGAUGGUCGCCUUGAAAGAGGAGUGAUCUGCCCGCAAGGGUGAAACAAGUACAGGUGCUGCAUGGCUGUCGUCAGCUCGUGCUGUGAAGUGUCGGGUUAAGUCCCUUAACGAGCGAAACCCUUAUCGUUAGUUGCCAGCGGGUCAAGCCGGGAACUCUAACGAGACUGCCGGCGCUAAGCCGGAGGAAGGCGGGGACGACGUCAAGUCAUCAUGGCCUUUAUGCCCAGGGUGUCACACGUGCUACAAUGGGGCGUAUAGAGCGAAGCAAGACCGCAAGGUGGAGCAAAUCGCAGAAAACGUCCCUCAGU